UGGAUCGAUGAUGACCACUGGUGGCGUAUGAGUCGUUCACGAUGAAUACGUGUCUGGAACUCUGAGGUCCAA
ensembl:snoRNA